UACAGAGGGUGCAAGCGUUGUUCGGAAUUACUGGGCGUAAAGCGCGUGUAGGCGGCGGCGUAAGUCGGGUGUGAAAUCCCUCAGCUCAACUGAGGAAGUGCACUCGAUACUGCGUCGCUUGAAUGUCGGAGGGGAUGGCGGAAUUCCCGGUGUAGAGGUGAAAUUCGUAGAUAUCGGGAGGAACACCUGUGGCGAAGGCGGCCAUCUGGACGACAAUUGACGCUGAGACGCGAAAGCGUGGGUAGCAAACAGG
rnacentral:rRNA from 1 species